rnacentral:rRNA from 1 species
UACGUAGGGUGCAGGCGUUAAUCGGAAUUACUGGGCGUAAAGCGUGCGCAGGCGGUUUGCUAAGACAGGUGUGAAAUCCCCGGGCUUAACCUGGGAACUGCGCUUGUUACUGGCAAGCUGGAGUGUGGCAGAGGGGGGUGGAAUUCCACGUGUAGCAGUGAAAUGCGUAGAUAUGCGGAGGAACACCGAUGGCGAAGGCAAUCCCCUGGACCUGUACUGACGCUCAUGCACGAAAGCGUGGGGAGCGAACAGG